GGUGGUGAUAAAACCGCAUCUUCGCACCUCGAUCGAGUCGAGUCUUCGAAUUCGGAUGAGUUUUCGUGGAGUUUUUUAUUUUAAACAGACUUUAAAUUUAUGAAAAGUUUUCAUUAUUUCAUUUGAUUUUCCCAGCAAUGGAUACCGGACACUGGGAAAGUGACAAUUUGUUGACAGACGUAUUGAAAAACUUUUUCCUUCAAGUUCCUUUCAAAUGUUUCCAUGAGAAAUUGAAAGAAUAUACCAUUCGAGAAAUCAACGUACUUUUUCCUAGCACUUUUUUUCAUGAAAUAAAUCAAAAAUAUCCUCUGAAGAAAUCUUAUCAAGUAUCAUUUUUAAAAACAAUACUACAGGAGUUGGAAGGAAGAAAUGAAGACGUUGAUGAGAAGGUUUACCAUUACUACCUUAAAUUACUGGAACAGCCUGAAAGUGAAACUCAUUACAUUCAUUACAUGAUAUCUGAAGAUCAAUUCAUUACAGUUCUGCAGAAUACUAGUACAAUUUCUGACGGCACGACAGGAUUGAGUGUUUGGCAGGUAUUCGUUUUUUUUCAGGCUGGAAAAAUGUUAGCAGAUUACUGUUUGAAAAAUAUUCAUUCAUUUGAGAAACAGAACGUUUUAGAAUUAGGCUGCGGUGUUGGUUUAACUGGCUUAGCAGUCAUAUUCGCCUGUAAACCAUCGAGUUACUGUUUCACAGAUAUCCACGAAAAGGUUUUAAAUUACUUAGAAAGUAAUAUUAAAUUGAACGUGGCUAUUACACGGUGUCUUACAGAGGCAAACAUUUCAUAUUUUGAAAGCUCUGAUGUUGAAACCAAAAUAUCAAUUAUUAAUUUACCCUGGGAAAACGUCGAUUCAAAUUUGACCGAUUCUAUCAAACCUGACAUAAUUUUAGCUGCUGAUGUGGUGUACGAUACUACACUUUUUCAUCCAUUCUGCCGUGCAGUGAAUGAAUUUGUUAGACGAAACAAAGAAGUGAGAAUUCUCAUUGCUUGUACUGUACGAAAUAGCCUAACUUUGGAGGAAUUUUGUUUAGUUCUACAUCAAUAUAAUCUCGUGGAAAAAGAAAUUGAAGCUGUUACAACGUGGAAUUCCAGUUUCAACGAUAAGUGUCAAGUGAAAAUAUUUUCUAUUCUGCCAGUACCAACUUCAAAAUAUGCCUGACAGAUGGUGGGGAAGGUUGAUGCAUGACUUUCCAGCGUAAAUGAGAGACUCAACCUUGAGUGUAUUCGCGUCGUGGUGUGUUCGUUAUUCUACCAUUCUACCUGUUGUGUAUCUUCUAUCUUCUUGUUCUCGUUCAUAUGUUGGAAUACGUUACAGUAGUUGCUAGUUUGCGAUCCCGUUGCGUGUCGUUGGUUUGUGGUCAGUGCGUUAACUUGACGAAAUUUGAUUGCAUUUAUCAGUUCGAAUUAUUUACUCUUUUGCCGUACUUGCGAAUCGUGCUUUUCAAAUUUUUAUUCUUUGUAAAUGUUAUAUAAGUGAUACUUGAUCAUUUACUGAUUCUUGUUAAAAGACUGGUUUGGUAUUCGUCUUGUAAAUGGCAAUUUUGAUAUCUGUCACAUAACCUGACUCGUAUUUCAAUUCGUCAUCUUCAUUGUACACUUCGAUAAAGGUACUGUUGCUCUAUCUACUUACGAAAUUAAAUGGAGAAUAAUCCUGCCAGAGUUCAUUCAUUUUAAUAGAUUUCUAAUCCUGCAUGAAUAUGAAUAGGUGAGUACUAAUUUUUCCACCGAGGGAUAAUAAAAUAUACGCCUCAUCUGAGAAUACCUA